rnacentral:rRNA from 1 species
UACGGGGGGGGCAAGCGUUGUUCGGAAUUACUGGGCGUAAAGGGCUCGUAGGCGGCCAACUAAGUCGGACGUGAAAUCCCUCGGCUCAACCGGGGAACUGCGUUCGAUACUGGAUGGCUUGAGUUCGGGAGAGGGAUGCGGAAUUCCAGGUGUAGCGGUGAAAUGCGUAGAGAUCCGGAGGAACACCGACGGCGCAGGCAGCGUCCUGGCCGCUUGCUGACACUGAGGCACGAAAGCUGGGGGAGCAAACAGG